rnacentral:rRNA from 1 species
AUUGAACGCUGGAGGCGUGCUUAACACAUGCAAGUCGUGCGAGAAAGGGACUUCGGUCCUGAGUAGAGCGGCGCACGGGUGAGUAACGCGUGGGUAAUCUCCCUUGGUGAUCGGGAUAACAGCGGGAAACUGCUGCUAAUACCGGAUAAUCUUCAUGUUUAACUUCAUGGGGUAAAGGUGGCCUCUGCUUGCAAGCUACCACAUCAAGAUGAGCCCGCGUCUCAUUAGCUAGUUGGUAGGGUAAUGGCCUACCAAGGCUACGAUGAGUAGCUGGUCUGAGAGGAUGACCAGCCACACUGGGACUGAGACACGGCCCAGACUCCUACGGGAGGCAGCAGUGGGGAAUAUUGGACAAUGGGCGCAAGCCUGAUCCAGCAAUGCCGCGUGAGUGAUGAAGGCCUUAGGGUUGUAAAGCUCUUUCGCACGCGACGAUGAUGACGGUAGCGUGAGAAGAA